GAUGAACGCUGGCGGCGUGCCUAAUACAUGCAAGUCGAGCGAACAGACGAGGAGCUUGCUCCUCUGACGUUAGCGGCCGACGGGUGAGUAACACGUGGAUAACCUACCUAUAAGACUGGGAUAACUUCGGGAAACCGGAGCUAAUACCGGAUAAUAUAUUGAACCGCAUGGUUCAAUAGUGAAAGACGGUUUUGCUGUCACUUAUAGAUGGAUCCGCGCCGCAUUAGCUAGUUGGUAAGGUAACGGCUUACCAAGGCAACGAUGCGUAGCCGACCUGAGAGGGUGAUCGGCCACACUGGAACUGAGACACGGUCCAGACUCCUACGGGAGGCAGCAGUAGGGAAUCUUCCGCAAUGGGCGAAAGCCUGUCGGAGCAACGCCGCGUGAGUGAUGAAGGUCUUCGGAUCGUAAAACUCUGUUAUUAGGGAAGAACAAAUGUGUAAGUAACUAUGCACGUCUUGACGGUACCUAAUCAGAAAGCCACGGCUAACUACGUG
rnacentral:rRNA from 1 species